rnacentral:rRNA from 1 species
AUGGUCUGUGUGGCACAUAAAACACAGUGCAACGAGGGACUGCAUAUCAUGAGGUCGAGGGCUACAGUCGACAUGGAUAGGGCUCGUCAUGCGGCAUCGCUCUCCCGACCUCCUUCCCAUCACAGCGUGAUGGGAAUCACUGGCUUACAAGGCUGUAACUCUGCUCAAACAUCUUGCCAAGGAGGAGUAGCAGCCGCGCCUGGAAGCAUAUUGGAUUGUUGGGAGAUAUUUGGUUCUAUGAUGGCCAAGUUGAUCAAAAUCACAUGUAAAACGACCAGGAAAGGUCCUGAUUGGCUGCUGGUGCUCUGGUCGCGCAAGGGGAGCGCGGCACACAACCUCAGCCUGCUCAAGACGAUGUGGCAGUGUUGUGUGGGCCUUGACGGCAGGCGCAACGACCGGUUGGACUACGGCGAGAGGGAAUUCUCCAUCGACGAGACGCCAGCGUUCCGGUUCUGCAUUGCGCCCUCCGUCUCGGACACCCACGGCGUCUACCACAACAGCCGCUACUUCUCUUACGAUGCCCGCCAGAGGGAUGUGGACUGUGUGGACUGCUAUGAUGGCGAGCAGAGUGAGUAUGGCCUGGAGAGCCUUGACGAUGGUGCAGAUGAGCAGCUGCUGCUCUUCAAUGGCAGCUCAAGGAGGAUUAACAAAGUGAUCCUACUGAUGAAGCGUGGCCUGGAUAGCAACAGCGAGGAUUCAAGUACCCUCGAUCAGCAGAAUCUUCUUGUCAUCGCCAGUGGGCGCCUUUGGAGCUCGAGCCAUGGGAAAAAGUUCACCUGCACGCACACACGUCAUGCUCCUACAUAUACACUGGCUGGCACCAUCCGUUCCGUUCCAUCGGUCCAUUCCUCUAUCCAGAUCCUUGUUGACCAACAUCUGCGGACUCUAGACUCCUUGUUGCAAAUUAAGAAGUCACUCAUGAUGGUUCUGAGCUGGGUGCAGAGUAGGCUUCGUGGGGCGCAGUGCAGUGCCAAGAAACCAGAGUUCAGAGAAGGGUCGUACCGACCUGCUGCUGACACUGACCGAUCUGACGACGAGCUCCACCGCCACCUCCGGCCUGCAGUGGCGAUGAUGUCGAUCGGGACGUUCGGGGUAGUCCAAGGCCACGGGGCCGACGAGCUCAGGAAGAUGCAGGAGGAGCUCGCGUUGCUCAUGGGUGCCAAAAGAGUGACCACCCCGGCGGCGGCGGGAGACAAGGACGACACACUCAAGAGGUCUCUGAGUGGGGGAGGGAGAGUCGAGCACAGGUCGUUCAGGAAAUUCAUGUCGCCAACACCAAGCUUCAGCUUCAGCUUCAGGGGGGCGAUGCCUGAGAUGCCCUGGCCAUUGCCCCAUAAUGACACACCCAGCGACAACUUGGCGAUGUCCGAGGCCACGAUCAAGAGCUACCCAACAGCGCAAUUGCCUUGGGGAGGCAAUGCGCCGACAGGUGAACAAGGGAACAAAUGGAUCACAACAGAUUCAGAGUGUAAUUUUACAGACUUUGUGAGGCCCCCUGGGGCAUUGGCGGUAGGUUCUGUCAAAGACCGACACCAAUGCCCUUGGUAG